GGGGUCUUAGCUCAGUGGUAGAGCAACCGGCUGCAGCGUGAGCUCGAUUGAAACCCGAGCUUCACAGUGUCCGGUAGGUCAUUAGUUCGACUCUGAUAGGCCCCU